GUCCCUAUCGUCUAAAGGUUAGGACAUUGACCUUUCACGUCAAAAAUAUGGGUUCAAAUCCCAUUGGGGACA
rnacentral:tRNA from 1 species